GUAGGUGGCAUAGUAUGUCUGUAGUGAAAGCGUGUGGCUCAACCAUAUACACAUUACAGAAACUGCUAAGCUAGAGGGCGAGAGAGGUAACUAGAAUUCCUAGUGUAGGAGUGGAAUCCGUAGAUAUUAGGAGGAAUACCGAUGGCGUAGGCAGGUUACUGGCUCGUCCCUGACACUAAGGCACGAAAGCGUGGGGAGCAAACGGGAUUAGAUACCCCGGUAGUCCACGCCGUAAACGAUGGAUGCUAGCUGUAAGAGGUAUCGACCCCUCUUGUAGCGAAGCUAACGCGUUAAGCAUCCCGCCUGUGGAGUACGGUCGCAAGACUAAAACAUAAAGGAAUUGACGGGGACCCGCACAAGCGGUGGAGCGUGUUCUUUAAUUCGAUGCUAAACGAAGAACCUUACCAGGGCUUGACAUCCCGAGAAUUACUGCGAAAGCAGUGAGUGCCUUAGGGAACUCGGUGACAGGUGCUGCAUGGCCGUCGUCAGCUCGUGUCGUGAGAUGUUUGGUUAAGUCCAUCAACGAGCGCAACCCCUAUGAAUAGUUGAAUUUUUCUAUUCAGACUGCCCCGGCAACGGGGAGGAGGGGGGGGAUGAUGUCAGGUCAGUAUUGCCCUUACGUCCUGGGCUAGAAACGCGCUACAAUGGCCGGUACAACGCGAUGCCAACCCGCAAGGGGGAGCAAAUCGCAUCAAAGCCGGUCCCAGUUCAGAUUGCAGGCUGAAACUCGCCUGCAUGAAGUCGGAAUCGCUAGUAACGGUAGGUCAGCUAUACUACCGUGAAUACGUUCCCGGGUCUUGUACACACCGCCCGUCAAACCAUGAAAGUCACCAAUACCUGACGUGUUGCCUUCGCGCAGCCCUAAGGUAGGGGGGAUGAUUGGGGUU
rnacentral:rRNA from 1 species